UCAGGCAGUGACAUUUGUCACCACACUGAUCCCCAGGGUUGAUUGGGCUGAUCUGGCUGACCAGGCGGGAGUCCCCU
rnacentral:sRNA from 1 species